AUACGGAGGGUGCAAGCGUUACUCGGAAUCACUGGGCGUAAAGCGCGCGCAGGCGGCCAUUUAAGUUGGAUGUGAAAGCCUACGGCUCAACCGUAGAACUGCAUCCAAAACUAUUUGGCUAGAGUGUGGGAGAGGAAGAUGGAAUUAGUUGUGUAGGGGUAAAAUCCGUAGAGAUAACUAGGAAUACCAAAAGCGAAGGCAAUCUUCUGGAACACUACUGACGCUGAGGCGCGAAAGCGUGGGGAGCAAACAGGAUUAGAAACCCGAGUAGUCC
rnacentral:rRNA from 1 species